rnacentral:rRNA from 1 species
AUGAACCCCCAAGCUAGCCCUGGACCAGAUGGGUUCGGUCCCUCCUUCUAUAGAUCUUUCUGGCCCUCUAUCAAACAUGCAAUCCUGCCCUUAUUUGCACAAUUUCACCAAGGUAUAGCAGACUUGGAGCGCCUAAAUCGCGCCCACAUCGUCCUCCUCCCAAAAAAUACCUCCCCUUCUUCACCCGAGGCCUUCAGACCAAUCUCCCUACAAAACUGCCCAAUUAAAGCUAUUGCCAAUCUCACUUCGCGCCUCAAACCUCUCAUCCCCAUUUCAGUUCAUGGCAACCAGACAGGGUUCAUCACCGGCAGGAAUAUUGCCGAAAACUAUGUCUACGCGGCCGACCUCAUCAGCUCUUGCCACUCUCGCAAACGACCAACCAUGGUCUUCAAGCUCGACUUCAGGAAGGCUUUUGAUUCUGUUGCUUGGCCUGCCCUACACCGAAUCUUGGCUGCUCGUGGCUUCUCACAAACUUUUCGUUCCUGGAUUCAAAAUAUCCUCCUCACGGGCAAAACCGCUAUCCUCCUAAACGGCAUCCCAGGCCACUGGAUACAAUGCAAGAACGGCCUACGGCAGGGUGACCCGGCCUCCCCCUACCUGUUCCUCAUCGUCGCCGAUCUGCUCCAGCAACUCGUCCUCCAAAACUCUGAGCCUGCUCUCCAGCACCCCAUCUUCACCCACCUCCCCCCACCAUUCUCCAAUACGCCAACGACACGCUUAUCAUUGCAGCUGCCUCUCCCAUCGCCGCCACAAAACAAUACUCAACAACUUUGCACAAGCCACCGGUCUCACCAUCAACUUCACCAAAACCACCCUGGCUACACUGCACACAGAUGA